GAGCUAGCUAAAAUCGUUGCCAAAAUCAUCUCGACUAGACGAGAAAUGAAGAUUGAUCAUGGCGAUUUGCUCGGGUCAUUCAUGGGAGAUAAAGAAGGACUCACUGACGAACAAAUUGCAGAUAAUGUAAUCGGAGUCAUCUUUGCAGCUCGAGACACUACUGCUAGUGUUCUUACAUGGAUCCUCAAAUACCUUGGAGAAAAUCCCAGUGUCCUACAAGCUGUCACAGAAGAGCAAGAGAACAUAAUGAGAAAAAAAGAGGUGAAUGGUGAAGAAAAAGUUUUAAAUUGGC
rnacentral:misc_RNA from 1 species